rnacentral:rRNA from 2 species
AUGUGCUGUGAGCUCGAUGAGUAGGGCGGGACACGUGGUAUCCUGUCUGAAUAUGGGGGGACCAUCCUCCAAGGCUAAAUACUCCUGACUGACCGAUAGUGAACCAGUACCGUGAGGGAAAGGCGAAAAGAACCCCGGCGAGGGGAGUGAAAAAGAACCUGAAACCGUGUACGUACAAGCAGUGGGAGCACAGGUUUACCUGUGUGACUGCGUACCUUUUGUAUAAUGGGUCAGCGACUUAUAUUCUGUAGCAAGGUUAACCGAAUAGGGGAGCCGGAGGGAAACCGAGUCUUAAUUGGGCGUUAAGUUGCAGGGUAUAGACCCGAAACCCGGUGAUCUAGCCAUGGGCAGGUUGAAGGUUGGGUAACACUAACUGGAGGACCGAACCGACUAAUGUUGAAAAAUUAGCGGAUGACCUGUGGCUGGGGGUGAAAGGCCAAUCAAACCGGGAGAUAGCUGGUUCUCCCCGAAAGCUAUUUAGGUAGCGCCUCGUGAAUUCAUCUCCGGGGGUAGAGCACUGUUUCGGCUAGGGGGCCAUCCCGGCUUACCAACCCGAUGCAAACUGCGAAUACCGGAGAAUGUUAUCACGGGAGACACACGGCGGGUGCUAACGUCCGUCGUGAAGAGGGAAACAACCCAGACCGCCAGCUAAGGUCCCAAAGUCAUGGUUAAGUGGGAAACGAUGUGGGAAGGCCCAGACAGCCAGGAUGUUGGCUUAGAAGCAGCCAUCAUUUAAAGAAAGCGUAAUAGCUCACUGGUCGAGUCGGCCUGCGCGGAAGAUGUAACGGGGCUAAACCAUGCACCGAAGCUGCGGCAGCGACGCUUAUGCGU